rnacentral:rRNA from 1 species
UACGUAGGGUGCAAGCGUUAAUCGGAAUUACUGGGCGUAAAGCGUGCGCAGGCGGUGAUGUAAGACAGGUGUGAAAUCCCCGGGCUUAACCUGGGAACUGCAUUUGUGACUGCAUCGCUGGAGUGCGGCAGAGGGGGAUGGAAUUCCGCGUGUAGCAGUGAAAUGCGUAGAGAUGCGGAGGAACACCGAUGGCGAAGGCAGCCCCCUGGGCCAACACUGACGCUCAUGCACGAAAGCGUGGGGAGCAAACAGG